rnacentral:rRNA from 1 species
GACAGAGGGGGCAAGCGUUGCUCGGAAUCACUGGGCGUAAAGGGCGCGUAGGCGGGAUGGCAAGUCGGUCGUGAAAUCCUUCGGCUCAACCGAAGAACGUCGGCCGAUACUGCCGUUCUUGAGGGAUGCAGAGGAGAUUGGAAUUCCCGGUGUAGCGGUGAAAUGCGUAGAGAUCGGGAGGAAGGCCGGUGGCGAAGGCGGCGCUCUGGAACAUUUCUGACGCUGAGGCUCGAAAGCGUGGGGAGCAAACAGGG